GAUGAACGCUGGCGGCGUGCCUAAUACAUGCAAGUCGAGCGAACAGACGAGGAGCUUGCUCCUCUGACGUUAGCGGCGGACGGGUGAGUAAAACGUGGAUAACCUACCUAUAAGACUGGGAUAACUUCGGGAAACCGGAGCUAAUACCGGAUAAUAUAUUGAACCGCAUGGUUCAAUAGUGAAAGACGGUUUUGCUGUCACUUAUAGAUGGAUCCGCGCGGCAUGAGCUAGUUGGUAAGGUAACGGCUUACCAAGGCAACGAGGCGUAGCCGACCUGAGAGGGUGAUCGGGCACACGGGAACGGGGACACGGUCCAGACUCUUACGGGAGGCAGCAGUGGGGAAUCUUCCGCAAUGGGCGAAAGCCUGACGGAGCAACGCCGCGUGAGUGAUGAAGGUCUUCGGAUCGUAAAGCUCUGUUAUUAGGGAAGAACAAAUGUGUAAGUAACUAUGCACGUCUUGACGGUACCUAAUCAGAAAGCCACGGCUAACUACGUG
rnacentral:rRNA from 1 species